rnacentral:rRNA from 1 species
UACGGGGGGGGCUAGCGUUAUUCGGAAUUACUGGGUGUAAAGGGCGCGUAGGCGGCUAUGUGAGUUAGGCGUGAAAUCCCUCGGCUCAACUGAGGAACUGCGCUUGAUACCGCAUGGCUAGAGUACAGGAGAGGUGGGCGGAAUUCCCGGUGUAGCGGUGAAAUGCGUAGAUAUCGGGAAGAACAUCGGUGGCGAAGGCGGCUCACUGGACUGUAACUGACGCUGAGGCGCGAAAGCGUGGGGAGCGAACGGG